rnacentral:rRNA from 1 species
UCGAGAAUCAUUCACAAUGGGGGAAACCCUGAUGGUGCGACGCCGCGUGGGGGAAUGAAGGUCUUCGGAUUGUAAACCCCUGUCAUGUGGGAGCAAAUUAAAAAGAUAGUACCACAAGAGGAAGAGACGGCUAACUCUGUGCCAACAGCCGCGGUAAUACAGAGGUCUCAAGCGUUGUUCGGAAUCACUGGGCGUAAAGCGUGCGUAGGCGGUUUCGUAAGUCGUGUGUGAAAGGCGGGGGCUCAACCCCCGGACUGCACAUGAUACUGCGAGACUAGAGUAAUGGAGGGGGAACCGGAAUUCUCGGUGUAGCAGUGAAAUGCGUAGAUAUCGAGAGGAACACUCGUGGCGAAGGCGGGUUCCUGGACAUUAACUGACGCUGAGGCACGAAGGCCAGGGGAGCGAAAGGG